rnacentral:rRNA from 1 species
GACGUAGGGCGCGAGCGUUGUCCGGAUUUAUUGGGCGUAAAGAGCUCGUAGGCGGCUUGUUGCGUCGACUGUGAAAGCCCGUGGCUUAACCGCGUGGUCUGCAGUCGAUACGGGCAGGCUAGAGUUCGGUAGGGGAGACUGGAAUUCCUGGUGUAGCGGUGAAAUGCGCAGAUAUCAGGAGGAACACCGGUGGCGAAGGCGGGUCUCUGGGCCGUAACUGACGCUGAGGAGCGAAAGCGUGGGGAGCGAACAGG